rnacentral:piRNA from 1 species
UGCUAACUGUGUUGUUACUCCCUCGC